AAUAAGUAUGGAAAGUUUUAAAAAUAUAUUUGAAGUGUAAAGAGGUAAAAUGAUAUUUGUACUAUACUUAAAAAGUAAAGAAGGUUAUUUUUUAAAGACAUUUCUUAUUGGGGUCAAAUAUGUAUAGUCACCCAUAUUUGGGUCUAUGACAUGCAAUUUCCUUAAAGUCGACCUCCCAUGAGCCAAAAUGGGCUAACACGUCCCGAUUCCUUAAUGGGACGGGCAUCCCACUUAGCCGCCUUAGAUGUCUAUCCAGUUACCGGAUGAGCUCAUCUUAUGUUCAUAAUUGGAUUAAAAUCCUGAUCACAAGUAAUAUCAAGGAGUUGAUUUUAAAAGUAGUUGAGUCAGAUAGUAGUUUCGGUAACUUGCCUGAAGAACUCUCUGUUGCUGAGGGAUUAAACAUUCUUAAUUUACACGGAUUUAAGCUUGGAUUGCCUCCUGAUCAUGGUAUAAAGCUUUCAUCUUUGUGAAAGUUAAGACUCACUGAUACAUAUUUGGAUGAGCAACUCGUUCAAGCUUUAUGUGCAAGUUGCGUUUGUUUAGAGAAGUUAAGGUUAUCCUGUUGUCGCGGACUAGCCAGCUUGCAAAUUGCUGCAAGUUUACAGAAACUGAAGACGGUUUGGGUACUUUGUCUUCCUGAACUCCAGAUAGUUGAUAUUGCAGCAGCAAAUCUUGAAAAUCUUUACAUUGAAAGUCAGCUAUGGAAUCUACAGGUAAUUAAAAUAACUUGUUGCAAAUCCUUGAAAACUUUGUACAUCGUUGAUGUGGAUGUCACUGACGGAUGGCUUGAAGAUCUUCAUGUCAAUCAUCCCAAUCUUGAGUGCUUGUCCUUAUUGGGUUGUUUAAAGUUGCAGACAAUCAAGAUCUCAAGUGACCGGCUGAAGUAUCUUGCAUUAUCGUGGUGCUUAGAAUUGAUCGAUGUUGAACUGGAAACUCCUAAUUUAACACGCUUCAGAUGUGAGUGCGAUGAAAAUUUUCCAACCCUCAAGCUUAUGAAAGUUUCAGUUUUUCUAGUAGUUGAACUCGAAUUCUCCCUGACAAAUAUACUUGAUAGUCAUUGGUAUUCUAUGCUCAUGAAAUUUCUCGGAAACUUCAAGCAGUCAAAGGCUAUUAAGUUAGAUUGCUGCGACAGGGAUGGAUAGUGAUACCAAAAUACAUGAGAGAAAACUUGGUACAGAAAACUCACUACUAAAGAUGCAUCAAUAAUGAAUAUAAGAACUGAACGAUUACAAGAUGAUUAACUUAGCCAGAACUUUGGUAAAGAAACCUUCGGCUCCUGCCGAUUGCUGGAGCAGAAGGUUUCUAUACCAAAGCUCAGUUCAGAAGUUCUGCAGCAAAUCAGCUCUAAAAGCAAGAUUCCAAAGCUGUACACGUCCACUUUGACGGUUAUAGGCAUAUUCCUGAACCACUCUGGGGCUACAUACCCUCUUGUCCCACGUAUCUUAGUGGUUGUUCGAGUCUGAUCUUUCCUCAAAAGCUUGGCUAUUCCGAAAUCUGCUAUUUUUGCUGUCAAACCUUCAUCUAAAAGCACAUUUUGGGGCAUGAUAUCACAAUGUAUAAUUUGGGUGCUACACUCUUCAUGCAAAUAGCAAAGCCCUUUAGCGGUGUCUAUCGCAACUUGUACCCUCUGCGACCAACUACGCCUAGAAUCUUUGAAUAGCAAGUCUGCUAAUGAGCCAGUUUCCAUGUGUUCAUACACCAAAAGCCGGUGUUGGCCUUCGUUACAGAACCCGAGGAGUUGGACCAAGUUCUUGUGAUUAGUCCUUCUGAUUGAAUUUACUUCAGCUAGGAAUCCUUGUUCUCCUUCUGUUACCGUCUUGUGUAGUUUCAUGACAGCAACUAUUUUCCCAUUGUCAUCGUUAAGAACCGCUUUGUAACCUGUUGAGAAGGCACCGGUUCCUAACUGUUCCUCGAAUCCGUUUGUAGCUUCUUCUAGCUCAUUGUAACUAAAACUUCUUAUGUUCACUCCUGGAACAGCUUGAUAUGCUGAAAGCUUCUUUGGAUAUUUCCCUUUAAACUUAAAAACAUACUAAAGGGCCAACAAUAUCAAGAUUAAAACCGAACUACCCAAUAAUACAGAAACAGAAAUGAUUAGACUAGAUUGAUUUUUUCUCUUUUCACCAGCUUGAGACCGAGGCGUAGCAGUAGUAGUAGUUGUUGUUGUUGUUGGUCCUACUAUGGAGUUGUCUUUCGUUAUUUUCAAAAGCGUUUUUGAUACUUCUGCUGGAUCUGUUCUCCCGUUUAAAAGCGGAUACCUUUUCUUCCAACAUUCUUUUCUUGGAUGGUGAACAGCAGCAACGCAAUAACAAUCACUCAAACAAUUCUGUUUGCACCAAUCCUCAGUAACAUCUCCGUAAUACUCAUAAUCACUACCAAUCCAGUUAGUGUGGAGCAUUUCGUGCAUUGUGAAAGCCUCAACACCGCGAGAUUCAUCCUUACAAACUUGCUCGGGGAAAUUGCGGCUGCAGCUGCCUAAUUUGUCCUUCGGAUCAUUUAAUAUAUACUUGAUUGGACAAUCACAUCUUGGCCUUCGGUCAGUUCCCAUCGAGCAAAGGCUGUUGAAACCACAUGCAACCCCUUGUCUCUCUAGAUGUUGAGGGAGAAGUAAACAGAUGUUAUCCGGAAUGCUAUGCAAACUAGACCACGCCAUCGGCCUCCCACUAGAAGAUCUUUUUGGAUAGACAUAGUGUCUAAAAACUCCAUCAGAUUCAAGAAUCGCUCGCUGAUAAAACUGGCUUAAUGUUGAGUUUGUCUCAUUGGAAGAAGAUAUCAAUGUCAGCAGAGUUCCAUUCGCUGCGUGAAGAUAAAUGCCUGAUUGAUUGAAGCUCACCUGGUUACCACUGCCACCAGUCGUGGUUGACCGAUAUACAAUCGGGUACUUGAUUGUAUAAAGUGACAGAUCUCCAUCCAGGAACAACUCAAAUCUUCCACUCGAUGCAUUCGUUCUAGAGAAGCUCGAGACAAACCUGGAUAUUUGAUUAAGUACUUGUCCAGGCAAAAUUGUAUCAGUUGGCUCAUCAAAACUCUGCCAUAGAAUGCCUGAACUACUGGUUGCUAACACAAAGUUACCGGUGUCGAGCAUGGCUCCAUAGACCGGUCCAGCACUAGCCGUAUCACGUGCCCAUAUUUCCUGACCAUUUGGAUCAGUUAGCACUAGUCUUCCAUCUAUAGAAAGCUCAACUUUGGAUCCCUCCGGCGCGAUGUUAUUUCUAUUGGCUGACCAAACUAUCGUCUUUCCUUCAAGUUUGUUGAACCAAAUGGCUAGUAAAAAUCCUGAUGAUCCAUUUCGAAUUCUUUGAAAGCCAAAUGCAAAAUCUCCAGAAGGGGAUGGCCAAAAUUUAGUAACAUCACUUGUAGUGAGUGUUGAACCCAAACUAACAUUUUUGUAAGAUUGAGCAAUUGUUGAAAGUGGAAACACUAAAAAAAUUGCAAGUAGAAACAUACAAUGGAAAGCCAUGCAAGAAAAAGAGGCAAAGUUUCUUGAAAAUCAGAAUGGAUACAUGGAAUUAUAUACACCUAUAAGUUAUAAACAGAGUAAAGCAUCUGGUAGCCUGAAUUAUGACCAAAUUUGCUACGACUCACUUCAACUUUACGAGAGUUCUAUUACUAUCCUGAACUAAAUUUUAGCAUAUGUUUGUCAACUUUUUAGCUGACGUGACACCUUUUUCCAACCUUUUUAGAUGACAUGACACAUUUGACGUGGGCCCCAUUUUAUGUAAUAAAGGUGUCACGUCAGCAGAGAAGGGUGAAAAACAUACUGUUAAGGCAUGUGGAGUUUUGAUGAUAGACAUGUGAAUGAAACAUGUUGUGAAAGCUGGUCCAUUCAAGUGUACAAAGAAAAGUUGCAGGUAAGACUGUUGCUAAGAUGAUAUUGCGCAUAGACAGGAGUAGAUAAGCAAGAAUAUUCAGGAACCUUCUCAAACACUUAUCACUUUAGUAAAGUGGAGGAAAAAUGCAAUACUCAGAAGUUGAGUUGAUCUAGAAGUCCAACAAUGAGAAGAGUUCUGCAAGGAUAAAGGAUAAAGCAAAAGAGUCCUAUUCAACCAGGGGAGGAGAAAUGGCUACAACAAGGAGUGAAGUUACUUGAUAGAGUUGAAAGAAGAAAUGAUACAAGAAUGACAACAGAAGGCACAAAACACACUCCAAAUCAGUCCACAAUCUUAAGGAUCCGAGGAUCAAGAUGGAGACCACUCUUGGAUUCGCUAUCAACAAGAAGAAUACAAGAUACAAUGNNNNNNNNNNNNNNNNNNNNNNNNNNNNNNNNNNNNNNNNNNNNNNNNNNNNNNNNNNNNNNNNNNAUGAAGGUAUAAUCUUAAGAACCCAAGAAUGGACAAUAUUGGACCCUUAACACUAUACACAACAAUAAACCUAUCUCUUAAAAAUAUACGAAAUCGGAAUCCACCUCUCAAGCAUCAAUGUUUCCAAGCAAAUAACAACAAAAGAGAAUCCACCCUAUUGUUGUAUCCUAGUUUCGUUUUUCCUCCAAAGAGAAGAGAGGACUUGUGUUUUCCAAUGUCUUAAGACUUACAACAUCAUCAAUAAACUAAGUCUAAAAUUCCUACAAUGUUCUAUUUAUACUAGGUUACAAAUAAAAUACAAAAAGACCAAAAGGCCCCUUAGAGACUUAGGUGCCCAUCAAGUGUAAUACGUUGUCUGAUUUUUAGUGCACUUAGGCUCGCUUUUGCACUUCAAUUGCACACACCAAGUCUCGAACCCAAAAUGAACUCCCAUAAGUACAUAUCCAUGAUUAUUCCCGUAUUAUCCUCUCCAUCUUGAGAGGAAUUUGCCCACCAAUUCAGGGCUUCACCUCAUUCAAUCGGCCACUUUAAAAUAAACCACUCAAAACAGCCCGCAAAAUAUUAACACAAGUCUUGGCCAACAUCUUCAUUUUGAAUCUCGGCUUCCUAUCCAUCUUGAGCCUUGUCUUUAAUCUCAUCCGAAACAAGUCUCCUACCAUCAUACAAGCAUCAUCGUAGAAUCCAUAUCCAUCAUGUUCCUUUCUACCAUUCUCCUCUACAUGGACAUGUCGGCUUUGGUAAAGUGGAGUUUCGGUUGAGAGGAUUGAUUUGGUAAAGUGGAGCUUCGGUUGUGGAGCUUGGAUGGGAGAGAUUUGGUUUCCAAGUCCUUUUUGUUGGACUUGAUCGAAUGGAGAAGGGAUUGACCUAUGUAGGCCUCGGGUUGGAGGGAAUUUGGUGGCUUGGCUUAUGUUUACAUCAUUUGGUGGUGGUCUUGGAGGAUUGAUUGCUUGAGGUAAAGUUUCGGAAUUAGAAUCAUGAGAAUUUCUUUGACUCUCCACUCGAUCCAACCUCUCAAGUAUAGUAUACAUAUCCGAGCCUAAUUUGUCAAGACCCGCAUUCGCCUUAGCUAUUUCUCGGGUAAUAGCAUCAAGAUGGGCCAAAAUGGUAUCCAUUGUGGCAAAGAAGUUACCUACAAAAUAGAAAAUAUGUUAGUUAUACAAAACAUCCUCACCCUCUCUUUUAUUUCGGGUCUCUCGGAUCCCUCACACUCAAUCUCACAAGUAUUGAAAGCUUGGUUGUACUCCGAGAGGUGUUGAGAGGUGAAUCCAACGUUGAAAACGAAUCCAAAGAGUAAGGAAAAAAACACAAGGAUGUUACAAUGACUCAAAGGAUUAAGACACACAAAGGAAAGUUAACACGAAGAACGGUUUCAAAACUAACUUACAAUCUAGUACUAGCUCAUACGUUAGUAAUGGAAUCAACAAACGAAACUAAAGAGACAACACAAUGAAACUAAAAGAUCAAAAUUUGAGCUUAAAAUUUUGUCGUGUUAACAGUAAAACGUGAUAUGACAGCCACGUAUUGGUUUGAUUUUAUCAAGUUGUUAAUUUCAAAAGUUCAAGUCUUGGUCAAUUUUCAAUUUGGGACCUUUGGUGGAACUUGUUCAAUGAAGGGAAAUACAAACUAGUCUUUGGAACUUCUUUUCAAUUCACAAUUAAAGACUCAAAUGUCUUUGACUAGACUUGUACUACCCUUAAAACAUGGAUUCUUGAAUCAUGAAAAGUUGUUGGAAAGUGGUUGAGAUGUGAUUGACUAGUUGAUGAGUGAUGGUAAGUCUUUCAAGACUAAUAAAGCUUUACCUUUUUCCCUUCACCUUUACAGAUCUAAGGUUCACUUUAUUUUAAAAAGCUAUGAAGGUUGUGAAGAACUUCAUGAACAAUAUCAACAAUCACCAAGAACAACCAACAACAAUCUCCAAGAACACCAACCAUUUUCACACGGCCAACUUCCAAUUUUCACAAUACAAUAUCUUCAACACUUGGCCAAGACAACAACAACUUUAACAAGAUGGUUCUUAGGACACCAAUGAGAAAAAAUAACACGUGGCCAAGCUUAGAACAACAACAAGACGAAUACCACAAGGCCAAAACAGUCCACCACAAUAAUGUUUCAACAACAAUUCGGCCAAGUCUUAUGUUCACAACAACAACAUCAAUUUUUAAAGCUCAAAUCUAGAUAUAGACUCAACGUGUUAGUGAGAAACAAAACUAACACUUAGAGAUAACAAAUACAAGUAAAAACCGCGGCCAAGACACAAUAAGAACACACUUUUCGUCCAAGAACACAACACGGACAGAUUGCUAUUUUUUCUGAAAUUUUCAGUUUUGAACACUUUUUUUAUUUUUCCACUAACAAGCCCAAGAUUGAUCUUAUGGGAACAAAAUCAAGACAUUCUUUGAUACCAAAUGAUACAAUAAUGACAAUGGAAGGCACAAAACACACUUCAAAUCAGUCCACAAUCUUAAGGAUCCGAGGACCAAGAUGGAGACCGCUCUCGGAUUCGCUAUCAACAAGAAGAAUACAAGAUACAAUGUGUAUUUUAACACCAAAACAGCAACAAGAACAAGAAAAAGAUUAAUACAAGAUGAUAAAAAAGAAGACACAAGAUACAAAUUUAACAAUAACAACAAGAACACAAGAUUACAACACAAACAAUAAACAAGAUUACAAGAAGGUAAAAGGAUAGAUAGAUAAACCACAUGAAGGUAUAAUCUAAAGAACCCAAGAAUGGACAAUAUUGGACCCUUAACACUACACACAACAAUAAACCUAUCUCUUACAAAGACACAAGAUCGGAAUCCACCUCUCAAGCAUCAAUGUUUCGAAGCAAACAACAACAAAAGAGAAUCCACCCUAUUGUUGUAUCCUAGUUUCAUUUUUUCCUCCGAAGAGAAGAGAUGACUUGUGUUUUCCAAUGUCUUAAGACUUACAACAUCAUCAAUAAACUAAGUCUAAAAGCCUACAAUGCUCUAUUUAUACUAGGUUACAAAUAAAAUACAAAAAGACCAAAAUGCCCCUUAGAGACUUAGGUGCCCAUCAAUUGUAAUAUGUUGUCUGAUUUUUAGUGCACUUAGGUUCCCUUUUGCAUUUCAAUUGCACACACCAAGUCUCGAACCCAAAAUGCACUCCUAUAAGUCCAUAUCCGUGAUUAUUCCUAUAUCAAGAAAGAAUCAUAAAUUAACUAGGACUCCAUCACAUGUGUAUUAAAAGUGUGAAUAUAUACAACAAAGCACGAUCAAGUAAUUUACUAAAUACACUGUAAAAAAAAUCAACAAUCAGCAAAACAGUUCUCAUACUUGAAGAAGAACCUGGUUCCUUACUCAAGUCAUAGACUGUGUAUAGUAGGUAGGUUCUUUGAGUUAUAAUGAGUCAUUGUUCUAGUCUCAGUGAUCUAUAAACUGAGUUAGGAGUUGUGUCUUCAACUUAGGAAACUCGAAGACUUGGGAACACUUAUCUUGGAAAGAUUUAUGUUUUUGUAGUGAAACCCUACAUGAAAUGAUGACAAGGCUUACCACCUUGACAAAUGAGUUGGAUUCCCUGGGAAAGAUCAUCCCUGAGGAGGAAUAAGUUAAAAAAGUACUAAGGGUAUCGCCUAGAUCAAAAUGGAAUAUUAAGGUAACUGCAAUCAGGGAGGAAAAUAAAGAGCUUAAAGGUAUGACCCUGGAUGAACUAGUAGGGAACUUAAGGACUUAUGAAAUGGAAAUUGAUGGAACCAAUGAACAAGCUGCUUUUGAGAAAAUUUUAGCAUUGAAAGCUUCUGAUAGUGAUGAGGAUUUUGAACUUGAUAAGGAGCAAGUUUCCUUCAUAACCAAAAACUUCAGCAAAUUCAUUAAAAAGAAGAAGGGAACAGGUACUAAGAAAUAUUCCAAUGACAAUCUAAAUGGAUGCCACAAAUCUGGCAAAACUGAUCAUCAAAUCAGAGACUGUCCAGUCUGGGAAAUAGAAUGGACGAAGAAAAGGAUUGAAAAAGAAUUAAAGGAAAAAAGGAAGGAGGAGCAUGCAAUGAUAUCAGCCUGGGGAACUGAUUCAGAUGAAGAUGAAGUUGAUGAAACUGCAUUCAUGGAUUUUGGAGAUUCAGAUAUAGAUGAAGAAGAUAAAGAUUCUGAGGUAAGCAUACUUUAACUCAAAGAAAAACUUCAAUUAUUUUCGAAACCAAAACUUGUUUCCUUAAUGAGUGCAUUUAUUGAUGAUUUCCAAGAGUUAUUCUCUGAUAUGGAUGAAUUGUUUGUUUUGCAAGUCUCAAAUUUAAUCUCAUUGAUCUAAAGGCUUGCUCAGAUACAAUUGACACAGAAAAAUGCACUAUAAAGAAAUAGGUUACAGAACUUGAGAUGUCAAAUAAUAAUCUUAAGUCUAAAGUUCUCAAACUAACUCUCUCUAAAAAUGGGAAAAAGGCCAUGAGUAAAGAAUAAGAAAAUGUUGAACUUGAGUUGGUUAGAUGCAAACAAGAGUGCUAUGAUUUAACUGAAAAAUGAAUAAGUUGAAUCAUGAAGUUUCUAAACUAAAACUGAAUAAGUUGAGUCAUGAAUAAGUUUAACUGCAAAUAGGUGGACAAACUCUUGUAGAAUUGUUCACAUUUUGAGUGAAAGAAAUUUCAAUGAAAAGGCAGGAUUGGGAUUCCGUAGAAGUUUUGGUAAUCUUAAGGAUUCAUGUUAUAUCUGUGGAAACCUUGGACAUCCCACCAAUGAAUGUCCAGUGGCUGCAAAAAGCAGAUUAAACAGUCUAAACCUAGCUAACAGAUCUUCUCAGACCAAAAAGAACAAUACCAGUUCUGGUUAGAGAAAUAGGUUAAACUACAUGCUGCCUGCAUAGACUAGAAGGAACUUAAUUCAUCCUUUUACUCAUAAAAUAGGACCCAAGCUUGUCUGGGUUCCUAAGCCUAACCAUUGAUUUCUUGUGCAGGAGAAGGUGAAAGAAAGCAAAAGGCACUGGUACUUAGACAGUGCUUGCUCAAGAAACAUGACUGGUGAUAAGAAAAUGUUCCUUUCACUCUCCUAAAUAGAUGGAGGAAGAGUUUCUUUUGGUGAUGAAAAAAAGGAAAUCAUUACUGGAGUUGGAAGGAUUGAAUCAACUGAGUCAAAAGCAUUGGAAAAAGUCUAUCUUGUAGAAGGACUAAAGCAUAACCUUCUGAUAAUCUCUCAACUGUGUGACAAAGGGAAUAAAGUUAUUUUCACUGUUGCAGGUGUUAAAGUUAAAAGAAUGGACACAAGAGAUUGUGCUCACUGCAAGGAGAUAAAUAAAUGUAUUCAAAGCUGACAUUAUGGAACUAUCAGGACCUGAUUUGACUUGUCUGGGUGCUAUAAAAAAUGAUCCCCUUCUUUGGCACAGAAGACUUGGUCAUGCAAGUUUGAAACAGCAAAACAUACUUUCAUCCAAAGACAUGGUAUUGGGGUUACCCAAGACCAAGUUUAAGAAAGAAAAGUUAUAUAGUGCAUGUGUAAGGAGGAAGCAGGUAAGAUCUUAUUUUAAGUCAAAAAACCAUGCUAGCACUACCAAGUGUCUGGACCUGGUUCAUAUGGGCUUAUGUGGACCCAUGAGACUUCAAAGCAGAUGUUGAAAAAGGUAUUUUUUUGUUAUUGUUGAUGAUUAUUCUAGAUUCACAUGGAAUUUGUUUCUACCCUCUAAGAAAGAUGCCUUUGAUGUCUUUGAAAUCUUCAUUAAGAAAGUUAAAAAGAAACUGGGCACUUCUUUAGUUUCUAUAAGGUCUGACCAUGGUAUAGAAUUUGAGAAUGCAAAGUUCUUAGGAUUCUGUUCAGCAAAUGGUAUAGAUCAUAAUUUCUCAUCUCCUAGAACACCACAACAAAAUGGAGUGGUGGAAAGAAAAAAUAGAACCUUAAAAGAUAUGGCUAGAACAAUGAUGCUUGCAGCAAAUGUUGCUAAAAACCUUUGGGCUGAGGCAAUAAGUACUGCAACAUAUAUCAUAAAUAGAUGCAUGAUCAGACCAAUGUUAGAGAAGACUCUCUAUGAAUUACUAAAAGGAAGAAAUCCUAACAUUUUUUAUUUUAGAACCUUUGGUUGUAAAUGUUUCAUACACAAUAAUGGAAAGAAUAAUCUGGGAAAAUUUGAUGCUAAAAGUGAUGAGGGAAUCUUCUUAGGGUAUUCACUUCACAGUAAGGCUUAUAGAGUUUUAAAUAACAAAACUAACUGUGUUAAAGAAAGCAUGCAUGUAAUCUUUGAUGAAUCCUGUGUUAAGACUAACCUACAGGAAGGAAGUGACACUAAGGAAUAGGUUAUACAACCCAUUUCAUCAGCUAAAGCUACCAAAUAUAGAGACAUUUUGAUAGGGGGAACUGAAGCUGAGGGCACAGUGAUAGGGGGAACUGAGCCUCAACAUACCUCAACUCAGAAUAUUAGUAGUAAUCCUGGUAGCUUACUAGGCAUGAUUCCAAAAGGAUAUAACUAUUAAGGAUCACAUCUUAUUGAGAAUGUUUUUACUGAUCUCACAUCUGGGAUCACCACAAGGUUUGGAUUAAGAAGUAUGUGUGCCUUCAAGGCAUUCCUNNNNNNNNNNNNNNNNNNNNNNNNNNNNNNNNNNNNNNNNNNNNNNNNNNNNNNNNNNNNNNNNNNNNNNNNNNNNNNNNNNNNNNNNNNNNNNNNNNNNNNNNNNNNNNNNNNNNNNNNNNNNNNNNNNNNNNNNNNNNNNNNNNNNNNNNNNNNNNNNNNNNNNNNNNNNNNNNNNNNNNNNNNNNNNNNNNNNNNNNNNNNNNNNNNNNNNNNNNNNNNNNNNNNNNNNNNNNNNNNNNNNNNNNNNNNNNNNNNNNNNNNNNNNNNNNNNNNNNNNNNNNNNNNNNNNNNNNNNNNNNNNNNNNNNNNNNNNNNNNNNNNNNNNNNNNNNNNNNNNNNNNNNNNNNNNNNNNNNNNNNNNNNNNNNNNNNNNNNNNNNNNNNNNNNNNNNNNNNNNNNNNNNNNNNNNNNNNNNNNNNNNNNNNNNNNNNNNNNNNNNNNNNNNNNNNNNNCAUUCCUGUCAGAGAUUGAUCCAAAGAAGAUAACUAAAGCAUUGCUUGAUGCUGAUUGGAUCAUAGCCAUGCAGUAAGAGUUAAAUCAGUUUAAGAGAAGCAAAGUAUGACACUUAGUUCCUCUCCCUAAAGAUAGAUCAGUAAUUGGGACUAAAUAGGUGUAUAGAAAUAAAGUUGAUUAGCAUAGAACAGUUACAAGGAACAAGGUAAGAUUGGUGGUCCAAGGAUACAACCAAGAAGAAGGAAUUGACUUUGAUGAAACUUUUGCUCCUGUAGCAAGACUUGAAGCCAUAAGAUUACUUGUUGCUUUUGCUGCUUGCAUAGAGUAUAUCCUUUAUCAGAUGGAUGUGAAGAGUGCAUUCCUAAAUGGCAUUCUUAAGGAGGAGGUGUAUGUUAAACAACCUCCAGGAUUUGAAAGCAGGAGUUUCCGAAUCAUGUGUACAAAUUGGACAAAAUUUUGUAUGGGUUGAAACAAGCUCCAAGAGCUUGGUAUGAGAGACUGUCAAAGUUUCUAUUAGAACAUGGACAUACCAGAGGUAAAAUUGACAAUACCCUUUUCUUGAAAACUAAUGGGAAGGAUUUGUUAGUUGUGCAGUUUUAUGUGGCUGAUAUUAUUUUUGGCUCAAUAAAUAUAAGUAUGACUCAUGAGUUUCCAAACUCAUGAGAUGUGAAUUUGAGAUGAGCAUAAUGGGAGAUCUGAAUUACUUCUUGGGCUUGCAAAUAAAGCAGUCAGCUUCAGGGACAAUGAUCCACCAACAGAAGUAUGCCAAAGGGUUUCUCAAAAGAUUCUCCAUGGGAGAGGCAAAAGUGAUAAGUACUCCUCUUUCUACUUACACAAAGCUAAAAUUGGAUAAAAUAGGUUAGGUGUAGAGCAAAAGAUGUAUAGAGUUAUGAUAGGGUCAUUAUUGUACCUCACAGCAAGCAGGCCUGACAUUGUGUUCAGUGUAGGGCUAUGUGCCAGAUUUCAAGCAAAACCCAAAGAAUCACAUCUAAAAUCUGUGAAGAUAAUCUUCAGAUACUUGAAGAGAACCAGUGAUCUUGGCUUAUGGUACCCCAAAGGGAGUAACUUUAAUCUGGUAGGUUACUCAGAUAUUGAUUAUGCAGGAUAUCUGAUGGAUAGGAAAGGCACUAUAGGAAUGGUACACUUUUUUGGAUCAUGUUUCAUUACCUGGUCCUCUAAGAAGCAAAAUUCAGUUGCCUUGUCUACUGCUGAAGCUGAAUAUGUUGCUGCAGGUUCCUAUUGUGCUCAAUUGCUACGGAUUAAGCAACAAAUCAUGGACUUUGGAAUAGAUGUUGGUUGUCUUACUAUUUUUUGUGAUAAUACAAGUGCAAUUAACAUAGCUAAAAAUCCUGUUCAACAUAAGAGAAUCAAACAUAUUGAUAUUAGACAUCACUUUUUUUAGAGAUAAUGUUAAAAAAGGUCAUAUAUCCAUUAUGUUUUGUUCUACUGAGGAACAAAUUGCUGAUAUUUUCACUAAGGCCUUGAGUAGAUAACACUUUGAAAAAAAUAGGUUAGCCUUGGGGAUGAUUAAAAUUGCAUAAGUCUCCCUCAAUGCUGGACGAGAAUAAGUUGAUUUUACAAGUGAUUAUUGGUUAAUUCAGUCUCAUAAAUUAAGUUGUGUAUCCUAAGUUCAAGAUUUUAGAGUAUGUUGACUCAUGUGUGUGUUGAUUUUGUAGAAAACCUUGAUUACAAAAGCAAUUUUGUCUAUUUUUUCAUUCAAGUAUGAUUAUUAUUACAGCAAAGUAGCUUAAAGAGAAACAAGUUAUUUUCCUGAUUCCUUCUUGGUCCAUUUAAACCGCCAAAAUAUAAAGAGUCCCUUCCCUUUCAAAAAGCUGCCACAUCCUUUCCCAUCAGGACUGAAACACUCAUCAUUAUGCCUCUGCCAAAUCAGUCCCUCACCCUUUCAACUUUCUCACCCUUCUCACACUCAAAAACACUUUCCUGGUUCAAAAAUGGCAUCACUCACAUCAUCUUUAUCCUCUUCUUCUUCUUUAUCCACUGACUCUAUUCCAAAUCCCCUCACUGCACUUAUCUUUCAUCUAAACAUCACCUUACCUCCCUUAAUUCCUUCUUCAAUCUCCCAGAAUUCAUGGAUUUCUCAGCCUUCAAAAAUUUUCCAAACCCUUUUGCUCAAAUUCCCUUACCUACUUCAUCCUUAUUGCGACCCUGUUUUCCUCCUCCUAUCCCGCUCAAAAUUAUUGUUGAGGAUGAUAUUCCUAAUGAUAGAGACGAUCUUCCUAUUGCAGACUUAAUCCCAAGAAGGUCGAGAUCUCACUUCAAGAAAAAACCUUUUGUCCAUGUAGAAGACACUACGCCUUUAAAACCCUCUCCAGUUGUCUCUAAUCCUCAAACCCCACAUACCCGAGGAAAUAAGCAACGCGAAGAUGCUACAUUGGCUGAAGCUCUUAGAUCUAACAAGGGGAAACGUGUAGUAAUUUAUGAUCCCACUCCUCCUCCUGCGCCUUCUCCUGAUCUUCUUCUUCCACCAAUUAGGAAAAAUAAUACUGUCAGGGCAAAAACUUCCAAAUCUUCUGUCUCGAAAGACUUCCUCUAAACCUACUUCAAAGGCUUCCUCCUCUUCAACCCCUCCCCCCCCCCUGUCAAAGCUUUCCCAUUCAGAGUUUCUCCCAGAUCAUCUACCCGUUUAAAGAAACAGGUUAACAAACCUGUUCCUUCUGACUCAUUUGACUCUGACUUCCAUCUGGACACCACUGCUAAAGUGGAUCCCAAUUUUGAGGUUCCUGCACCAUCCUCUCACUAAGAUACUCUUUAGGCUCAUCCUCUUCACUUUUAAAAUAACAAAUUAGCUAGAGGGAGAGUAGUUAGUGGAUCUGGGGUGUUGCUAUGCAGUCUUUACUGGAAAAUUAAAGUUUCAGGAAUAGUCUUAUCUCUUUUUACAGGGAAACCUUCAGCGAAGAUUUGUUCGACCUGAAGUGUAUGAGUUCUAUACGAAUGGGGUGGGCAUUGGUGAGUUAUUUUCUGCUACAGUUAGAAAGGUUACACUAAACCUUUACAUUGCUGAUAUUGCUAGGAUUCUGCAUAGUUCUUCUGGGGGUGGAGUCACUAUGUCAAAGGCAGUUGCCCACCUCUUAAUAAUCUUGCCUCAUCUCUUGACAUAUGUAGAAAUUUCUCUGGAAAUCCCCACUUGGUCAAUCAUAGAAGAGUGUUUAAGAGGGAGAUGUCUCCUCUUCACCAAAUGUACUUUGAUGUAGUGCAUAAGAUGAUUCUUCCUAGAAAGGAAAGAAGGAUUGUGGAUAGCUUUCUUGAUCUCACUCUCAUGGAAUUAUUGGAUACUGAAGUAAGAAUUGAUCUGCCUCGACUCAUGCUAAAGAAUAUGCAAAGGGUUUUAUUCAAGGAAGUAAAUGGACAUGCUCUACCGUAUCAAUUCUGGAUCACCCCUAUAUUUGAGGACUUUGGUGUUUCUAUUCAAGUGUGAUCUUCACAGACUACCAAGGAUAUCAUAGGGUAUGUGAACUACAUGAUGCUACCUAUUUCUAUGAGGAGUGCUGACAAUCCAAUGCAAAGAUUGAGAAAUUCACUGGCUGAAAAAUAAGCCGGGGUGGAAGUUGCUUAGGCAGUUUUGGAGGCUGCUCAUGAAGAAGAAAAAGGGAUCCUCUAUGCUCAAAUUGCUUCCCUUAAAUCCUUGUUGGAAAAAGAGAGAGCUAAAAAUGCAGAUGUUAUUAUGAAACUCACCUCUCUUCUUCUACUUAGUCUCUUGACUAAUAUCUUAAGCCUACCUCCUUUUAUUCUUUUACCUGAUAGCUUGUUCUCUCUUAGUUUACUUUUUGAUAUACGUAGUUAUCUCUGCUAAUGAAUGAAAUGGGCUUAGUUGUUUUACUAUUUUCUGCUUCUAUUUUUUCAUAUUGCAUUUAUGUUCUCUUAUUUUGAAUUUUGAUUGUCUUUGUGAUAGCCUCAGUGGCCAUGAAUUAUUAGAUGCUUUUCACUUGUUGAGCCAGCUUUUUGAUGAUGUCAACAGGUCGAAGAGUAGGCUAUGCAAUACUUAUAACUCAAUUUGACUAACCUGUUUUAUUUUGUGUUAUUCUUUUAUUCAAAUUCCUUAUUGAGUAUGCCAGGGGUCUGUGAUAUUGUGCUGCUAUAUUUGUCAUCAUCGAAAAGGGAUAAUUUGUUAAGGCAUGUGGAGUUUUGAUAAUAGACAUGUGAAUGAAACAUGUUGUAAAAGGUGGUCCAUUUAAGUGUACAAAGAAAAGCUACAGGCAAGACUGUUGAUAAGAUGAUAUUGCGCAUAGACUGGAGUGGAUAAGCAAGAAUAUUUAGGAACCUUCUCAAACACUUAUCACUUUAGUAAAGUGGAAGAAAAAUGCAAUACUCAGAAGUUGAGUUUAUCUAGAAGUCCAACAAUGAGAAGAGUUCUGCAAGGAUAAAGGAUAUAGUAAAAGAGUCCUAUUCAACCAGGGGAGGAGAAACGGCUAUAACAAGGAGUGAAGUUACUUGAUAGAGUUGAAAGAAGAAAGAAGCAUAAAUCAACUAGGACUCCAUCACAGGUGUAUUACAAGUGUGCAUAUAUACAACAAUGCAAGAUCAAGUAACUUACUCAAUGCACUGAAAAGAAAACUAAUAAUCAGCAAAACAGUUCUCAUACUUGAAGAAGAACCUGGUUCCUUACUUAAGUUGUAGACUGUGUAUAGUAGGUAGGUUCUUUGAGUUGUAAUGAGUCAUUUUUCUAGUCUUAGUGAUCUAUAAACUGAGUUAGGAGUUGUGUCUUCAAGUUAGGGAACUCGAAGACUUGGAAAUACUUAUCUUGGGAAGAUUUAUGUUUUUGUAGUGAUAGGAGUUAGAAGUUUUAAUUCCUAGUUUACAAUAAGUCUUGUAACUUUAUUGAUUGUUGAGGCUCAAGUAUUAUAGUGAAGUUGGGGUUAAAUCCUGUGGAGGUACAGGUCGUGGAUUUUUAAACCUUUCUUGAGCUGGGUGUUUUUCACGUAAAAAUACUGUGUUCAGCUUUUACUUUUGUGAACCACGUUUACUUACCGAUUCCACUGAUAGCCAAUUAGUAGGGCUCGUACUCUAAUACAUACGCUAAAAUCUAGUUUAGGGAGAUAAUAAAACCUUUGUGAAGUUGGAGUAUGUCAUAAAAAAUUUGACCAUAUUUCAGGAGGUUACUAUAUGUUGUAAAUAUAAUGUUUCUAAGUCAUGGUCAACCACUAAUGUCCUUGUUGGACCACAUUUUCAAAAAGCAAAUGUUGAUUAGGUGAAUGGGUACCAUAUUUUCUUGAAGUAAAUGUUAAGGACAUUUUGUGUCCAAACUUUCUUGACCUGCCCAAAAAUGUUUUGCUACAAAAUAAGUCGUUUUCUUGCUUGUUUUUGAGUUCUUUGUGUUUUGUAGUCUAUUAUAUUCUUUCUUAUAUGGAUUGCACUGUAGUCUUUUCAUUAUUUUUUUUUCAAAAUAACAAAAAACUCUUUCUUUCGAGUUAUUCACGAGGACAAAACAGGACACUAAAUCAAACAGUGGCAAAAGGAAAACCGGUUCACAUCUCCGUGUCCAAAGAAUUUUUGUAGGGAAUAUACCAUCCAAAGACAGAAAUAUAUUUUCAAAGAAAAAGGGAGCAAAUCAUAAAUAAGAAAUUAGGGUGCAAAAUCAUUAAAAAUAAUAGAAGAGGGUGCAAAUCAUAUGUCAAAAAAAAAAAAAACAACUCCUCAAAUUUCCAUCUCUGACACUAUUUAUAUACCAAAAGACAAGGAAAGACUUUGACUUUGAAUGCCUUUUGUCAGGAAAAUUUUACAAUGGAGAAUCACAACCAGUGUAACCCUCCACUAAUAUUUUGACACAUAAGUCGUAGACCCCUAUAUUUUUGAUUUUAUAAUAAAAGUAAUGAAUAAAAGAGAUUUAUAUAAUUUAUAUGGGUCUUAAUUGGUAAAGUAAAUUUUGUUAAGUAAAUAUAAAAAAUAAAAAAAGGAGAAUUAUAUGGCUCUUGUAUGAAAAACAUAAACGGUAAAAAUAUAAUUUUUUUUCUUUAUGGUUUCAUAAAAAUCCAUGCAAACUUUUGAUCAUUAUUUGAGAUAAAAAUUAUACCAAAAUAAAAUUUUAAAAAAGACAUAUUUUUGUAUUUAGUACAAUAGCAUUUCUCAUGGAAUAUCACAAAUGAGAUUUGAGAAAGAUAGAGUGUAUCCAGUCGGGGCGUGCUUCAUCUUUUUUAUUUUAUUAAUAAUUUAAUUAUAAAAUAAUAUAUUAUUUUUAAUCCCAAUUAAUAAUUUAUAACAACAUAAAUUUUUGGGUUAUAAAAUACUAUAUUUUAUCUCAAUCCAAAAUUCUUUUUAUAAUUUAAUUAUAAAAUAAUUUAUAAAAUAUAGUAUUUUAUAACCCGAAAAUUUGUGUUGUUAUAAAUUAUUAAUUGAGAGUAAAAAUUAUAUAUUUUUUAUAAUGAAAUUAUUCAUAAAAUAAAAAAGAUGAAACACCCCCUCUAAUAAAUUUUGCAUAUACUCUAUUUUUCUCAAAUCUCAUUUGUGAUAUUUCAUGGGAAAUGUUAUUGUUCUAAAUACAAAAAUGUCUUCUUUUUUUUUUUUUUUAAUUUUAAAAGGAAAUCAUAAAUUUAAACAAAUGAAAUAUCUAUUAAUAAAAAUAGGAUCAAUACGUAACUUUGGUGUAAUUUUUAUCUCAAAUAAUGAUCAAAAGUUUACGUGAACUUUUAUGAAAUCGUAAAAAAAAUAAUUAUUUUUACCGUACACAUUUUUUCAUACAAAAGCCAUAUAAUUUUUUUUAAGUUUUUAUAUUUAUUUAAUACAAUUUAUUUUACCAAUUAAGACCCAUAUGAAUUAUACAAAUAUAUUUUCUCUCUCUUACUCAUUGCUUUCAUUACAAAAUUAAAAAGACGGGGGCCCACAACUUAUGUGUCAAAAAAUUAAUGGAGGGUCACACAACUUUUGUUGGUUGUGACUCUCCCAUUGUAAAAUUUUCCUUUUCUCCGUAUUUAUUCUAUAUACAUCUUUCUCAGUAAUCCAUUCAUUUUCUACAUAAAUAUGACUCUAAACUUGACAUCAAAUUAUAACAUUGACCUUAAACUUUAACAAUGCACAAAUAGGCCCUUUACCUAUACAAAACCUGAACAAAUAAACACUCCAAUUUCGCAACUUACACACGUGUACCUCACUUGCGCCUAUGUGGAUUAGUCAUCCACUCAAAUGCUGCCACCAAAUAAAAAAGAUACAGUAUUACUAUGUGUUUUGCGGAAAUUUUGACUUUUGAAGAGAGUCGCCACUUAAUUUUGAGAAGGAAUUAAGAAAUCUUUAGAGAGUUACUUCAAACGAUUCAAAACAGAAAAAUUGUUUUAAGUUAGAGAUUCUAGAUAAGCAGUUCCUAUUAACGUUUUAGAAAGGUGUUAGGCACCUAAAACGUCCGCUAACUUGCAGUUAUCCGGACUGUUUGAAAAUCGUCUUUUGAUUAACUUUGAAAAGAUUAAUUUGUUGAAAUAGUGAUUUGAUUUUUUCAAAAAAAAAAAAAAAAAAACUUGUGCAAAAUAGAUUUAGGCGACUUAGUAGGGAUUUUAACUAAGUCUAAACAAAACUAAUAAACAAAUAAACACAUAAAAUGGGAAGGGUGGAGAAAGUAAAAGAUUUAGGCCAUUAAGCCCAAAUCAACGAGACUUGUCCUAGUCUAGUUGGGCUUCCAACCCAUUUCACCUGUCGUAAACUAUUUUUCGAGCUUUUGGAUCGAGUCUUGCUUCACCUGUAUUAAAUACAACUUUGGCUUCUAGGCCGAAAUGAAUGAAUAAAUAAAUGACUAAAUGAAUAAAUAAAAAGAAGACAAUAAUAAAAAUUGAGACUUUUCAAGUCUUUUAGUGACCUCAUCAAUGGGUUUUGACCAAUUUUUCUUCUUUGUCUAUCUUCUAGAACCCUCACGCCAUGUAGUGGACCUUGGGUUUAAACUUCGAACUUGACUCGAAGGGGUGAGCCUCAUUUACUCAUUACGAAAUGCAGGAGGAGGGGAGUCCAUUUGGACUCGAGAUAUUUUUUGCAUACAAAGAAAANNNNNNNNNNNNNNNNNNNNNNNNNNNNNNNNNNNNNNNNNNNNNNNNNNNNNNNNNNNNNNNNNNNNNNNNNNNNNNNNNNNNNNNNNNNNNNNNNNNNNNNNNNNNNNNNNNNNNNNNNNNNNNNNNNNNNNNNNNNNNNNNNNNNNNNNNNNNNNNNNNNNNNNNNNNNNNNNNNNNNNNNNNNNNNNNNNNNNNNNNNNNNNNNNNNNNNNNNNNNNNNNNNNNNNNNNNNNNNNNNNNNNNNNNNNNNNNNNNNNNNNNNNNNNNNNNNNNNNNNNNNNNNNNNNNNNNNNNNNNNNNNNNNNNNNNNNNNNNNNNNNNNNNNNNNNNNNNNNNNNNNNNNNNNNNNNNNNNNNNNNNNNNNNNNNNNNNNNNNNNNNNNNNNNNNNNNNNNNNNNNNNNNNNNNNNNNNNNNNNNNNNNNNNNNNNNNNNNNNNNNNNNNNNNNNNNNNNNNNNNNNNNNNNNNNNNNNNNNNNNNNNNNNNNNNNNNNNNNNNNNNNNNNNNNNNNNNNNNNNNNNNNNNNNNNNNNNNNNNNNNNNNNNNNNNNNNNNNNNNNNNNNNNNNNNNNNNNNNNNNNNNNNNNNNNNNNNNNNNNNNNNNNNNNNNNNNNNNNNNNNNNNNNNNNNNNNNNNNNNNNNNNNNNNNNNNNNNNNNNNNNNNNNNNNNNNNNNNNNNNNNNNNNNNNNNNNNNNNNNNNNNNNNNNNNNNNNNNNUACCAACAAUAAGUUUAAACAAGACAUGGGUAUCGUUUUUCAAGUAAAGAUCUAAACUUUAUCCAAAAUAAUCAAAGAAUAAAGUAAAUAAGAGAAACAGUCAAUAUUAUCUAUUCUUUUCAACAUAAAGGAAAUAACUUUACAUGCUAAAAACAAAUAUAUCUACCAACAAUAAGUUUAAACAAGACAUGGGUAUCGUUUUUCAAGUAAAGAUCUAAACUCUAUUAAAAUAAUCAAAGACUAAGGUGAAAAGGCAAAAUAUUCAACAUUAACUAUUCUUCCAAACAUAAAGAAAAUAACUUUACAUACUAAAAACAAAUGUAUCCAACAACAAUGAGUUUAAAAAAAGCAUAAACACAUCUUUUAAGCAAAGAUUGAAACUUUAUCUAAAAUAAUCAAAGAAUAAAGUUAAAAAAAGCACAUACAACUAUUGCUAGCUCAUUUUUAUAUCAUGAACAUGAAAAUAAUUAGAAUAUCGAUACCACAACGUCCUAGGGCCUUCAAGGACAUCUAUAACAUACAAUCCCAAUAAAUAAAAUUAUAUCUACGAACUACAAAGAAGAAAAAAAGAUGAAGAGAAAAACGAUAAUAAAAAUUAAAGUAAUAAUAAUAAAAAAAUAAGGUGUGUUUACCUUUUUGGGGACAGAAAAAUGAGACUACAAGCUUCGUUAGAAUCAACCACCACCAAAAAACAUCGCCGGAAACUCAAAAAUUUUGAUUAGCCGAUCAACUUUAUGAAACAAAAAUUUUUACUAAAUAAAAAUAACUAUUUUUGCUCAAAAGGAUUUUUUUCCACUUUCUAGCCUUUUUUUUCUUCCUUCUCCCCUCCCCUCUCUACCAAAGUAGUGGUAGUAUUUAUAGGAGAGAAUGAAGUAUUUUUUUUCCCUUUUCCACCAAUGUGGGAGAAAAGUAUUUAUAGGAAAGGAUAGAGAUUUAUUUCUUGUCAUCCACCAAUGUGGGAGAAAAAACAUUUAGGGGGGUUUUUGGAAUGUAAAAUUAAAGAUAAGGUGAGGUGGAAGAUAAUGUGGGGGGAAAUAGUACAAUGUAGUACAAUCUUUGAAUUUCAAAAUUGGAAAAGGACAAAGUUGGGGGAAUAGUAUAAUUUGAAUUUAUUUUUUGGUGGAAAUUGGGUAAAACUUAUGAGAGUUCUUGAGAAUUUUGAGGUUAUUUAAAAUAUAACCCCACUUGAAAUUUAAAAUUUAGCCAUAUUUAUUUAUUUUGACCAAAUUAAACAUUAAUUGACGAAUUGCAUUGUAAUUAUGGCCAAUUUUCAAUUAUGGUCAAAUCUAAUAGAUUGACUAAAUUAAAUUAAAAUUCGAUAAGAAUUAAUACCUUUUUUUUUUAAUCCCGAUCUUCUUGAUUUAAUAAAAUGAAUGCAUAUUUAUCCAAAUAAAUUAUUUUUGAGAAUAAAUUAUAUUUAAAUUAAGAUUUUAAUCAUUUGAAUUUAUUUUCAAGAUAAGCCUUAAUUAAAUCCGAUAUUUUGUAAAAUAAAUAUUUAAGUAACAAAUUAUAUAAUCUCGUAUAACUGAACACGAUAGUAUAUAAUCGCUAUUUAAAAUGACAAAAUCACGUACGAAAAAUAUUUUAAGUUUUUUUUUUCAUUUGGAUGAAAUAAUUAUUUUGGUUUACUAAAAACAGAAGAAACUUAGGAUUAAAUUUAGUCGUGGAGGGCAAAAAUUAGGUGUCAACACUAUGACCUUUAACUUUGCCAGUGUACAAAUAAGCCCUUUAACUAUGCAAAAGUUAAACGAAAAAACCCUUCAAUUCUAACUCCGACACGCGUGGUUUUGAGUGCAUACACGCAUUUUGCCACGUAGAAUUGAAGUAUUUAUUUGUUCAGAUUUUAUAUAGUUAAAGGGUCUACUUGUGCACUCUCUCUUUUUCUCGUUCAUUCAAUUUAUUUUUAUUUUAUAUUUCAUAACACAAGCCUUUUAUUUAGUAAUCCAUUCAUUUUCUUAAAACUAAGCCCUUUUAGCUACUAAAAGUUAUUACUCUAAAAUUUGCCUUUUUGGAAUUACUAAAGACUAUGAUAAAAUUAUAAAUAUUAAGUGUGUUGAAUUUGAGCCUUGAACGUAACAAAUUUUUUAAAAAAGGCGUUAGUAUUCGUUUGUGGAUAUCAACAGCGUGAAUCGAAAUGCAGAUUUCAAAUCCCGAACAUUAAAAAGAGAAGAAUUAGAAACGACUGAUUGUUAUGAAAGUUGAAUCUCUAAAGAGUAUGAUGGAAUGGUUAACGGUUAUUAACAUUAAGUGUUUCGAAUUUGAGCAUUGAACAUAACCGUUAUUUAAAAAAAGGCGCAAGUUUUAGUUGCAGUGGAUUUCUAUAGCGCGAACAAUAAAUUCAAGCACCGAACACAACUAAUAAUGAUAAACGUUAAUAAGCCCCUUGAAUGUAACGAUUUUUUUUAAAAAAAGCGUCAAUAUCUAUUCGCUUAAGUGUGUUUCUGUAGAGCGAAUAUAGAUUAAUCAGAACACCGAACAUAUCCAUAUAGUCAAAAAAGGAAAAAAAAUUAAAACCCCCCCCCCCCCCCAAAAAACUCUCUCUAAACACUCUCUUAAAGAUUAGGCUAGGGUUUCUAUAAGGUGUUAUCUAGAGGAUCAAGAGUCAAGUUCUUUCCAUCAAUCUUCAUGAAUAAGUCAUGUGACUCUUUCUUUAUUGUUAGUUCUCAAAUAUCAUGUGUUUACAUUGAUUAUGGUUUAUUAAUGGUAGUUUUGAAAACCUAUGUUGAGGGACAUGUUGCAUAUUGUUGAGUAUUAUUUACUCCUGGUUUGAAUUGUGUUUAUACAUGUUUUUGAUAUUGGUUUGCACAUGUGGGUGCUUGGUAAUUGUGGUUUAACAAUUGGGUAAUGGUUCAUCCUAAACUAAAUGGUUUUUACUUUGGUCUUGGUCUUGUUAAUGGUAUGCCCUCAAAGUGUUUGUAAAAAUGUCUAAGAGAACAAACUAGUCACAUGUUUAAUGGUGUUUUUUAACUAAGGCAUUGGCCUAAUGAAUAUGAAUUGUUGGUAAAUGGAUUUGUGAAAGGCUUUUUGGUCAUGGUAACCUUGGUGGUUCAAUUGGCUAAAAAGGGUUUGAGUCCCUAAACAUUAAAUUGAUUUAUGUCCCUACUAGAUAAUAAGUUUGAGUCCUUAAAUGUUGAAUUGAAUUGAUGGAUUUGUAUAGACAAUAUAUUCCCUUUGGCUGUUGAGCUUCAGUUCCAACUCUUUGAUUUUUUUUUGAUGGCUAAUUCUAUCAUUCUUCUUGUAGAAAAAUGGUCAUGUUUGUUUUCAAGAAUUCAUGAGUUGAGUUCUUUUAGAGAUGAUCCAAUUGUUUGUUUGGCUCAUAAAACUUGAAUUUGAAGGUAAAGAUUGUGCAUUACAUGAUCAAAGUUAAACUCUUCUAUUGCUUUUAGAGAUGUUCAAUUGUUGCUUUGGUUGUUGGAUAAUCAUGAAUUUGAAUCUAAUGAUUGUGUUUGAUUCGAUCGAAAUUCAGUUUCUUUCUUGCUUUUAGUAACUUUUAUGCCCAUUUUAACUUGAUGCAGAUUCAUAUAUACAGUGGACAAGUCUGAAUGUCGGACAGAAGUUAGUGUGUCGAGUUGAGGAGAAAUUCAAAGCAAACUAUCAAGAGCAUCCACAAGUGAGUAGUUGCCGAAUAUUCCAAUAUUCCAUAAGUUUGAGUUUUUUCUCAUUUCUUUUGAUAACUAUCACAUUCACAGCUUGAAGUUUUCAAGAAAUUUCAUGAGCAUAGAGUACCAAUCACUAUCUACUAGAAACAAGUUUUGUAGCAAAAAUGAAGCUUUCAUAAGUUUUGAGUGUUGGGGAUUUAUCACCACGCUCAUAUAUGAAGCUUGUUAAAUUAGGAGUAUUUACCUCUAACAUUAAUCAAAUAUAAGCACCUCAAUGUUGCAGUAUACGCGAGUCGGUCUCUUGAAAUCUUGAUUGUUUGCUAUUUAAAGCAAGCAGAUAAGUACACACGUUCAAGGUUGGGUUGAUUGAAAAGAAGGUGCCAUCCAUCUGUGACAUUCACAUUAACUAGGUGCAAUUUUUUCAAGGCAUUGCAAGAAGUUAUUUUAUUAACUUUUAGUUCCCAGUGACGCCUAUUAAUACAAGGAUCUUCAACAUUCAGUGCUACAAUGUCAAUCAUCUGAUUUCAGGAAGGCAAAUUAGCCAAAUCAUCUUCAGUUUCUGCAAUUUGCAAACUGGCUAGUCUGCGACAACAUAACCUUAAAUUCUCUAAACCAAUGCAGCUUGCACAUAAAGGUUGAAUGUGUUGCUCAUCCAAAUAUGUAUCAGUGAGUCUUAAAUUUCGCAAAGAUGAAAACUUUAUACCAUGAUCAGGAGGUAAUUCAAGCUUAAAUCCACGUAAGUUAAGAAUGUUUAAUCCCUUAGCAACAAAGAGUUCUUCGGGCAAGCUAUCGAAACUGCUAUCUGAUCCACCUUUUUUUAAAAUCAACUCCUUGAUAUUACUUGUGACCAGGAUUUUUAAUCCAAUGAUGAACAUAAGAUGGUAUUUUUAGCCAAACUUUUGUACAGAAAUCUUGUGCUUCUUCCGAUUGGCUAGAGUUUGAUUAACAAUAUGCACAAACUCUUGUAUGUUUUCUGAAAGUAUCCAGUGUCCGCGCACUUCAAAAUAGAAGAAUUUAUCGCGAAAGUUUAAGUAGGGAGGAAACUCCAAGCAGCAUACCAUGUCUUGGACAAAGUACUAAUUUGUCCAGCAUCUUUAGCAAGGAGUAAACCCGUAAAGUGAUGCAAAAUUGGCUCCGGUAAUUUGGACAUUUGAUCCUCCGCUUCAUCAACUCUUUUCUCUUUCAUCACUCUCAAAGAUGUUCUAUGCCUGUUUUCCCAAAAACCAAGCAGUAAAAUGAAAAAAAGUUACGGAAAGAAAAGUUUACUUGUAGAAGAAUUACACAAAGCAGAAUACUUUCCUUCAUAUGUUAAAAUAUUGCUAAAGAUCACAUACAUGAAUCAGAACAGUAAUUUCAAACGAUAGAAAAGUUAAUGUGGAGGCUUUUCUAAAAAAUAAGGCAUGGUUCUUUCAAUGCCAUGUCCGAGGAAAGCAGAUCAAACAGUACUGGUUGGGUAGAUAUAGGUAGUGAAUUCUAACCUUUGAAUGAAUCCUAUCAACAGGAAGGUAUAUUAUCCACACCUUCCAAAAUUGGUCAAGUUAAGAGAAAGCGAUUCACUCUUUCUAUUCCCGAUAGGGACUCAAUUUUGAACUGGAAUUAUCCACACCAGAGAACGAUGGCCAGCUGACGGUAUGGAUAAAACAAAGGAAAAAGUUUUCUUCGCAAACUAAAACAUCUUAGUAACUAAAGGAAGGGAACUCAACCGAGAUCUUGUUAGUAGCAGCGAGCGAGAGCGGCUUAGGGAUUUGAAGAAAGACAAGACCUAAAAGCACAGUCUUCUUCUUUUCAAUUUCUAUUGGCUAUUUGAACAUCAAUAUAUCAAUUACCUGAUGAAGACCAAAGUAUUUGAUUCAAUUGGGUUCUUCUACUUUGUUGAUGUUUUUGUUAAUCUUCCCAUGUUUCUAUUUUUUAUCUCACAAAAUGUGAAAUGCCUCAAGUAUUUAUAGACAUCUAAGGUGGCUAAGUGGGUUGUCCGUCCCAUUAAGGAAUCGGGACGUGUUAGCCCAUUUAUGCCCAUGGGGUCAACUUUAAGGUUGGGGCCGGGGCGGGGUAAUCCUUAUGGAGAUGCACAACAAAGUUGCACAAUUGUGUAGACUAAUUACAACUAUUAGGAAGAAUCAUUUAAUAUCACAUGAGUAAGUUUUGCUUGCUGUCGCCUGUCAGUGUGCAUAGUAAUGUUGAGAACAAUAUCCGUAUAAUGAAACUUUUUUAACUGGCCAACGAUACAUCCUAUGUCCUAAUCACGCAUAAGACAUUCUGAAGAAGAAAGGAUGACAUUCUGACCUUCGACAAGCAUUAAGCACAAGAACUUGGUUUAGAAAGUGACAACAACGUGUAUAAAAGCCGGAAUAGGAGUAGAUGAAGGAGUUGGUUCUUUACCUAACACUCUCGGCCACCCAACCAGACCGACUAUAUUCUCUAUAUAUGCAAUAUCUUGAAAGGCAAAAAAAAGAUCUACCUUGGCAACAAACACGUCAUUGACUGAUAAUUUACCACAUUAUAAAUAGUAGAUACUGAAUCCUCUUGGUUUUGUGUGUCUACUUCAUUAUAAUCUAUUUUAUUAUUAAAAGUGAACUCAACUUGAUAGUGUAAAAAGAUCUGUACACACUGGCAGGCGACAGCGAGCAAAACUUACUCAUGUGAUAUUAAAUGAAUUCCUAAUAGUGGUUAUUAGGCUAUAUGAUUGUGCAAUUUUGUGGUGCUUCUCCAUAAGAAUUACCCCGCCCCGGCCCCGGCCCCAACCUUAAAGUUGACCUCCCAUGGGCCUAAUGGGCUAAGACGUCCCGAUUCCUUAAUGGGACGGACAACCCACUAAGCCGCCUUAGAUGUCUAUAAAUACUUGAGGCAUUUCACAAUUUGUGAGAUGAAAAAUAGUAACUUGGGAAGCCAAAAAACACAUCAACAAAGGAGAAGAAUUCAAUAGAAUCAAAUACUUUGGUCUUCAGCAGGUAAUUGAUUUUUCGAUUUUCAAAUAGCCAGUUGAAAUUGAAAAGAAGAAGAUUGUGCUUUUAAGUUCAUUCAAUGCUAGGUAUUUUAAAGCUGAGAAAAUAAUCCUCCUUGCUCAUCCUAGAUCUUAUCUUUCUUAAAAUCCAUAAUCUGCUCUCACUCGCUGUUACUAACAGGAUCUCGGUUGAUUUCCUUUCCUUUAGUUACUAAAGUGUUUUAGUUUGCGAAGAACCAUGCCUUCUUUCUUAGAAAAGCCUCAUCAUCAACUUUCUAUUGUUCAAAAUUACUAUUCUGAUUCAUGUAUGUGAUAUUUAGCUAUAUUUUAGCAAAUUAAGGAAAGAAUUCGGCUUUGUGCAAUUCUUCCGUGAGUUAAAGUUUUCUUUCCAUAACUUUUUUCAUUUUAGUGUUUGGUUUGUCGAAAAACAGGCAUAGAAAAUCUUUGAGAGUGAUGAAAGAGCAAAGAGUUGAUGAAACGGAGGAUCAAAUAUCCAAAUUACCGGACCCAAUUUCGCAUCAUUUUAUGGGUCUACUCCUUGCGAAAGAUGCUGCACAAAUAAGUACUUUGUCCAAGACAUUGUAUGCUGCUUGGAGUUCCCUCCCCUACUUAAACUUUGGCGAUAGAUUCUUCUAUCGUGAAGUGCAUGGCCGCUGGAUACUUUCAGAAAAAAUACAAGAGCUUGUGCAUAUUGUUGAUCAAACUCUAGCCAAUCGGAAGAAGCACAAAAUUUCUGUCCAAAAGUUCUGGCUAAAAGUACCAUCCAGUUACCGGAUGAGCUCAUCUUAUGUUCGUAAUUGGAUUAAAAUCCUGGUGACAAGUAAUAUCAAGGAGUUGAUUUUAAAAGUAGGUGAGUCAGAUAGUAGUUUCGAUAGCUUGCCUGAAGAACUCUUUGUUGUUGAGGGAUUAAAUGUUCUUAAUUUACGCGGAUUUAAGCUUGGAUUGCCUCCUGAUCAUGGUAUAAAGUUUUCAUCUUUGAGAAAGUUAAGACUCACUGAUACAUAUUUGGAUGAGCAACUCAUUCAAGCUUUAUGUGCAAGCUGCGUUUGUUUAGAGAAGUUAAGGUUAUCCUGUUGUCGCGGACUAGCCAGCUUGCGAAUUGCGGCAAGUUUGCAAAAACUGAAGACGGUUUGGCUACGUUGUCUUCCUGAACUCCAGAUAGUUGAUAUUGCCGCACCAAAUGUUGAAAAUCUCUACAUUGAAAGUCAACUAUGGAAUCUACAAGUAGUUAAAAUAACUUGUUGCAAAUCCUUGAAAACUUUAUACAUCGUUGAUGUGGAUGUCACUGACGGAUGGCUAGAAGAUCUUCUUGUCAAUCAACCCAAUCUUGAGUGCUUGUCCUUAUCAGGUUGUUUAAAGUUGCAGAAAAUCAAGAUCUCAAGUGACCGGCUGAAGUAUCUUGCAUUAUCGUGGUGCUUAGAAUUGAUUAAUGUUGUACUGGAAACUCCUACUUUAACAUGCUUCAGAUAUAAGUGUGAUGAAAAUUUGCCAACCCUCAAGCUUAUGAAAUCUUCGGUUUUUCUAGUACUUAAACUCGAAUUCUCCCUGACAAAUAUACUUGAUAGUCAUUGGUAUUCUAUGCUCAUGAAAUUUCUCGGAAACUUCAAGCAGUCAAAGGCUAUUAAGUUAGAUUGCUGCGACAGGGAUGGGAUAGUGAUACCAAAA
rnacentral:lncRNA from 1 species